rnacentral:rRNA from 1 species
GAGUUUGAUCCUGGCUCAGAGCGAACAUUGGCGGUAGGCUUAACACAUGCAAGUCGAGCGAGGCUUCGAGCCGAGCGGCGAACGGGUGAGUAAUACUUGGGAAUCUGCCCUGAAGUGGGGGAUAACGUCCAGAAAUGGACGCUAAUACCGCAUAAUCCAUAUCGGGAAAGCGCGCUGCGCUUUAGGAUGAGCCCAAGCCUGAUUAGCUAGUUGGUGGGGUAAAAGCCCACCAAGGCGACGAUCAGUAGCUGGUCUGAGAGGAUGAUCAGCCACACUGGAACUGAGACACGGUCCAGACUCCUACGGGAGGCAGCAGUGGGGAAUCUUGCGCAAUGGGGGCAACCCUGACGCAGCCAUACCGCGUGUGCGAUGAAGGUCUUCGGAUUGUAAAGCACUUUCGGCGGGACGACAAUGACGGUACCCGCAUAAGAAGUCACGGCUAACUUCGUGCCAGCCGCCGCCGUAAC